rnacentral:tRNA from 1 species
GGUGCCAUACCCAAGCGGUAAGGGAACGGUCUGCAAAACCGUGAUGCAUCGGUUCAAAUCCGAUUGGCACCU